UAUGCUAAUAACAAUGCAGAAAAAGCACACAGGUGAUAAAUGUCCUCACUCAAAUACAUUUAUUAUCUGAGUAAUAACCUCGAAGUAUAAAGAACUGCAAUGGGUAUUAACUGCAUUACCUUGAACAAACAUCUUCAAAUACCACACAAUGCUUAGUAUAAUGUGUUGCAAAUAGAGCUGCAACAACUAAUCCAUAAUAGUUGAUAAUAAUCGAUAAUGAAAAUCGUUGACCGAGCAACCCUCCUCCCGGAACGGUCAUCGACGGCGAAGUCACGUAACCAGAGUGGUGUGUUCAGGCAUAGUUCAUCGUUCUUUUUCUCUUUCUCUGGUGGUCUUUCUGAUCGCAGCUUCAGGUUGCGUUCGGUGUGUUUUAAACGCUGAUGGCUUGAUUUGUCAGGUACGACUUCAUCGUGAGUCACAAAGUGCACUUCAGCAGCGUGGCCCCCACUCACUCACACACCUGUGUUCAUACAAGCCCGCUUUCUACACAACCCCGGAUCAUGCUGAUUGAUGAUGUAAGGAUUGAGGAUGUGGUCAUUUUCUUUAAUCGCACGUCUAUCAUUAGAGAAUCCGCAUCGUGUGAUCAAAAAUGGAGAACGCAUGUUAAUUUGUUAACCAUUAAAACCAGUACCAUUAUUGGUUCUUAAUGGUAUCCACUAGACAUAACAUGCCACCAAAGCAACAAAUUACCAGUAGACCUACAGGGACAUUACAGAUUCUACGAGGGUUUCCGUUGUGAUUGUUUUUUUCAGCAGGGAAAUUCCUAUUUCCAUUUUGGGAAUAAAUCAGAACAAAGUGUAACCAAAUAAUGAGCUAAUAAAAUUAUUUAUAUGUAAUUUGCAUUCAGUCUCUCAAUCUGGCAACAAUGAGAAGCUGUGUUUUUCUUUGUCUAUUUUACUUCUUUUUUUUAAGUGUACAAUAUCUGGAGGAAAAUACUAAAAUAGUUUUAUUCGAUUUAAAUGUAUUAAUUAUUGACAUCAUUGCCUACUGGAUUUCCUUUUUUAUUUUAGUAAUAAAUAUAUUUUAGGAAUAAAUCAUAGCAACCUGUGAUUAAAUUCAUAAUGAACUAAUUAAUGCACAGAAGAAAAAAAAACGUUUCAAAUUGCACUCGAUUGUUCAAUCUGGCAACAAUGAGAAGCUUUUAUUUAUAUUUACAUAAACUUCUGGGGGGAAAUACUAGAAAAUAAAUGUAUUAGAUUUAAAUUGGUUAAUCAUUAAUUGCAUUGUGGAUUCCUUUUUUUGCGCCUUUAACCAACAGUUGAAUAAUUUAAUAAUAAUAAUAAAAGUGCAACAGAUCUGAAAUGAAUAUAAAAUAUUAUUUAUUUGCUUACUUGUUCAGUCAAUGGUGCAAAAAGGUAUCUGGACUAGAUGACCUAUCUGGCCUUUGAUUAGGCCUACUGCGUCUUCUGAUGGAGAUGUAAAACGAAGUUUGUGAGUUUAAAAGACCCGUGUGUUCCUGUAAGAAGGACAGGGUGAAGGAAAUGCACCAUACCGUGACGUAGGGCACGGCCGACAUGCUGCAGCUCCAGACCCGGAGGGGUUGGCAGCUCAGGAUCAGAGACAAGCGACUCGGCGCGCCAGGAUCCGUAAUCUAAGGCGGCAAUUUCGGCGCUUAGAGUUCCUUUCGAACCGGUUUCACUGACUGCGUUUAACGUGCAGCGAAGGACGGGAUUAAGGCAGGUGAGCUGCAUGAUGGCAGGCUGAUCGCCGAUCAGAAGAAGGAGGUGGAAGAGAGGUGUUGUUUUUUUGUUGUUGUUGUAGUUAUUGUUGUUUUUGUUAAAUAAAAGGUUUCUUUAAACAACCAA